AUACGGAGGAUCCGAGCGUUAUCCGGAUUUAUUGGGUUUAAAGGGUGCGCAGGCGGGAGAUUAAGUCGGCGGUGAAAUUUUGCAGCUCCAAUGUAAAAGUGCCUUCGAAACUGGGUUUCUUGAGUGUAGAUGAAGUAGGCGGAAUUUGUGGGGUAGCGGUGAAAUGCAUAGAUAUCACGAAGAACACCGAUUGCGUAGGCAGCUGACCAGACCGCAAAUGACGCUCAUGCACGAAAGUGCGGGGAUCGAACAGGAUUAGAUACCCUGGUAGUCCGCACAGUAAACGAUGAAUACUUGUUUUCGGCGAUAUAAUGUCGGAGGCAAAGCGAAAGCGAUAAGUAUUCCACCUGGGGAGUACGCCGGCAACGGUGAAACUCAAAGGAAUUGACGGGG
rnacentral:rRNA from 1 species